AACGCGAAGAACCUUACCAGGUCUUGACAUCCUCUGACAACCCUAGAGAUAGGGCUUCUCCUUCGGGAGCAGUGUGACAGGUGGUGCAUGGUUGUCGUCAGCUCGUGUCGUGAGAUGUUGGGUUAAGUCCCGCAACGAGCGCAACCCUUGAUCUUAGUUGCCAUCAUUUAGUUGGGCACUCUAAGGUGACUGCCGGUGACAAACCGGAGGAAGGUGGGGAUGACGUCAAAUCAUCAUGCCCCUCAUGACCUGGGCUACACACGUGCUACAAUGGACGGUACAAAGAGCUGCAAAACCGCGAGGUGGAGCUAAUCUCAUAAAACCGUUCUCAGUUCGGAUUGUAGGCUGCAACUCGCCUACAUGAAGCUGGAAUCGCUAGUAAUCGCGGAUCAGCAUGCCGCGGUGAAUACGUUCCCGGGCCUUGUACACACCG
rnacentral:rRNA from 1 species